UACAUGGGGUGCAAACGUUGCUCGGAAUUAUUGGGCGUAAAGCGCGCGUAGGCGGUUACUCAAGUCGGAUGUGAAAGCCCUCGGCUUAACUGAGGAAGUGCACCCGAAACUGAGUAGCUAGAGUACCAAAGAGGGUCGCGGAAUUCCCGGUGUAGAGGUGAAAUUCGUAGAUAUCGAGAGGAACACCGGUGGCGAAGGCGGCCUUCUGGACAGAAACUGACGCUGAGACGCGAAAGCGUGGGGAUCAAACAGG
rnacentral:rRNA from 1 species